rnacentral:rRNA from 1 species
AGAGUUUGAUCCUGGCUUAGGACGAACGCUGGCGGCGUGCCUAACACAUGCAAGUCGAGCGGGGACAUGCGACGGAUAGGAAGAUUCGGUUGGACUUGAAGAUGCAUUGUUCUAGCGGCGGACGGGUGAGUAACGCGUGAGCAACCUGUCCCUUACAGGGGGAUAACACAGCGAAAGUUGUACUAAUACCGCAUGAGACCACGGGAGGACAUCCUUCAGGGGUCAAAGGAGCAAUCCGGUAAGGGGUGGGCUCGCGUCCGAUUAGAUAGUUGGUGAGGUAACGGCCCACCAAGUCGACGAUCGGUAGCCGACCUGAGAGGGUGAUCGGCCACAUUGGGACUGAGACACGGCCCAAACUCCUACGGGAGGCAGCAGUGGGGAAUAUUGGGCAAUGGGGGAAACCCUUGACCCAGCAACGCCGCGUGAGGGAAGAAGGUUUUCGGAUCGUAAACCUCUGUCCUUGGUGAAGAGGAAGAGACGGUAGCCAAGGAGGAAGCCCCGGCUAACUACGUGCCAGCAGCUGC